GUGACAAUACAAACACAUUUCUCUAUCCGGGGCCAAGGCCGGGGCUGCUCCCGGGAGGAAACGCCGCAGGCCCCGGAACGGCAAUGCCGGAGCCCCGGGAGCGGCGGGGCCGGGCUCGGAGCCAAGAACAUCCCAAAGUGCCUCCUCACCCUCAUGGACAACAGGAAUGUCUUCCAUAGCUCCUGUUUGAGAAUGGCAAUGGCUGUUGGGAGCUCUGGCAGGAGCACCCGGAGACCAGCAGGGAAACAUUUAAAUAAGAAGUGCUGAAAAGAAUUGGAGCUUCUGCACAAUGAAAUCUGCAAGAAUCCAACUUCAAAUCCCCCUGGAUUGUCACCGGUCCAACUUCCAUGGACUGGUCACCGUGGCCAGGAGUGCCCAGUCCUGCUGGAAUGCACUGGACCGGGAUGUCAUUUUCAUUUUAUCCUGGUAAAGACCCUCUGGGUGACCCCCAGGGACUGGAAGGACCAGACUGGGCUCCCAGGGCACUAAUUCCAGGGGUUCUGUUUUUGGGAACAGCACAGGAGCCGUUCCCCUGCCCAGAGGAGCAGCCAGUGCCUCCCUUAGUCCACAAAUCCCCAGGACUGACCACACAGGAAAUAACAGGAAUGUGGAAAUCCCCCACACUGGGAGUUUGUGGUGCUCUGGAUUACAUUUUGGAUUUAUAAGGUUAAAGGGGGGCUGUGGAAUGGCUUCUCUCCUUUUUAUUGUCACUGUUGUCACUGCUUUUGUUGCCAUUAAUAUUAAAUGAUUGUAUUUGACAUUAAAUGAUUGUAUUUGACUAGUUUCCAUUAUUAAACUGUUCCAAGCUGGA